UAGGGCUUUCAUGCAACUGGGCACAAGAACAAAUCACACUAAGGUUUGGACUACAGCAAACAUCCCCAUUGUGAAAUUCACAUCAGAGUCCUCAUGCUGUCAACAGAAUACCAAUAUAGAUUUUUGGUAAUGCCAAUGUAAUAAUAAAUGAACCAAACUCUUAUUACAGUUAUUAUAAGAAGUGAAGAUGUUUUAUGCUUUUCUGAAAUUUGGUUUUAAUUUUAGUGUGUAUUUAUUUGUUUUGGUAACAAGCAAAUCUUACCCACUUCAUCUUUCUCAGCUCCAUCAUGGAGACGGCUGGAGAGCUCAUCCACCUGACACACAAGAGCAAACCUUUUCUGUCCUGAGACCCUCAGGUGACCACCAAGGAAGAACACUGAAUAACUGUAGAAAGGGCAAUUCUGGAAACACGAGAGAAAAUAGACAUGAAGAUCAACCAUCUGACUUCAUUGGUCCAGUCUCUAGUGGGGAACAGGCGUGUUGUACCCCAAAUGCAGAUGGCUGAAGAGGAAGAGGGUGUGUCUUUCCUCUAGCAUCUACUGCAGACCUAGAUAGGCUGGAACAAAGAUUAUCAGACAGAGGGUUUAUGCAGAGAAU